UACCCGCAGCCCAAGUGGUGGUCGAUUUUAUUGAGUCUAAAACGUUCGUAGCCGGUUUGGUAAAUCCUUGGGUAAAUCGAGAGGCUUAACUUCUCGAAUUCCGAGGAGACUGCCAAACUUGGGACCGGGAGAGGCGAGAGGUACUUCUGGGGUAGGGGUAAAAUCCUGUAAUCCUGGAAGGACCACCGGUGGCGAAGGCGUCUCGCUAGAACGGAUCCGACGGUGAGGGACGAAGCCCUGGGUCGCAAAC
rnacentral:rRNA from 1 species